rnacentral:rRNA from 1 species
UACGUAGGGGGCUAGCGUUGUCCGGAUUUAUUGGGCGUAAAGAGCGCGUAGGCGGCCGGCUAAGUCCGACGUGAAAUCUGGAGGCUCAACCUCCAGCGGUCGUUGGAAACUAGUCGGCUAGAGUCCGGAAGAGGAGAGUGGAAUUCCUGGUGUAGCGGUGAAAUGCGCAGAUAUCAGGAAGAACACCGAUGGCGAAAGCAGCUCUCUGGGACGGUACUGACGCUGAGGCGCGAAAGCGUGGGGAGCGAACAGGAUUAGAAACCCCCGUAGUCC